GAGUGAACGCUGGCGGUAGGCCUAACACAUGCAAGUCGAACGGCAGCACAGUAAGAGCUUGCUCUUACGGGUGGCGAGUGGCGGACGGGUGAGGAAUACAUCGGAAUCUACUUUUUCGUGGGGGAUAACGUAGGGAAACUUACGCUAAUACCGCAUACGACCUACGGGUGAAAGCAGGGGAUCUUCGGACCUUGCGCGAUUGAAUGAGCCGAUGUCGGAUUAGCUAGUUGGCGGGGUAAAGGCCCACCAAGGCGACGAUCCGUAGCUGGUCUGAGAGGAUGAUCAGCCACACUGGAACUGAGACACGGUCCAGACUCCUAAGGGAGGCAGCAGUGGGGAAUAUUGGACAAUGGGCGCAAGCCUGAUCCAGCCAUACCGCGUGGGUGAAGAAGGCCUUCGGGUUGUAAAGCCCUUUUGUUGGGAAAGAAAAGCAGCAGGUUAAUACCCCGCUGUUCUGACGGUACCCAAAGAAUAAGCACCGGCUAACUUCGUG
rnacentral:rRNA from 1 species